CAGUUUUUUUCUCGUUCGACCAUUCCAGUUCUCAAUUAAAAAACUAAUUAUUAUGCUACCUUUGCACGAUCAAAUUAUCGCGGCCAUUUAAUAAAUUCUAUCAUAGGGCAGGUCAGACUUUAAAUUAUAAUCAGACAUGUUUUUAA